rnacentral:rRNA from 1 species
AGAUUGAACGCUGGCGGCAUGCUUUACACAUGCAAGUCGAACGGUAACAGGCCGCAAGGUGCUGACGAGUGGCGAACGGGUGAGUAAUGCAUCGGAACGUGCCCAGUCGUGGGGGGAUAACGCAGCGAAAGCUGUGCUAAUACCGCAUACGAUCUAUGGAUGAAAGCGGGGGACCGAAAGGCCUCGCGCGAUUGGAGCGGCCGAUGUCAGAUUAGCUAGUUGGUGGGGUAAAGGCCCACCAAGGCGACGAUCUGUAGCUGGUCUGAGAGGACGACCAGCCACACUGGAACUGAGACACGGUCCAGACUCCUACGGGAGGCAGCGAGUGGGGAAUUUUUGGACAAGUGGGCG